AUGGACACUCCCUAUUCAAAUAGCAUCGGGUAUAACAAUUCUUAUGGACAGGCCCUGACCUCCUCUGCUUCUGUGGUGAAGAGACCUGGAGAAUCAGUCACUCUGUCCUGUACUGUCUCCAGAUUCUCAAUGGGCAGCAACUACAUGCACUGGAUCCGUCAGAAACCAGGACGAGGACUGGAGUGGAUUGGGCGCAUUUACAGUGACACAAUAUUUGCUCAGUCUCUGCAGGGCCAGUUCUCCAUCACUAAAGACAACAAUAAAAACAUGCUGUACCUCGAAGUGAAGAGUCUGAAAGCUGAAGAGACGACUGUUUAUUACUGUGCACGAGACUCACACUGA